rnacentral:rRNA from 1 species
GGGUUGUGAGGUUAAGCGACUAAGCGUACACGGUGGAUGCCCUGGCAGUCAGAGGCGAUGAAGGGCGUGCUAAUCUGCGAUAAGCGCCGGUAAGGUGAUAUGAACCGUUAUAACCGGCGAUACCCGAAUGGGGAAACCCAGUGUGAUUCGUCACACUAUCAUUAACUGAAUCCAUAGGUUAAUGAGGCGAACCGGGGGAACUGAAACAUCUAAGUACCCCGAGGAAAAGAAAUCAACCGAGAUUCCCCCAGUAGCGGCGAGCGAACGGGGAGGAGCCCAGAGCCUGAAUCAGCAUGUGUGUUAGUGGAAGCGUCUGGAAAGGCGCGCGAUACAGGGUGACAGCCCCGUACACAAAAGCGCAUGUGCUGUGAGCUCGAUGAGUAGGGCGGGACACGUGGUAUCCUGUCUGAAUAUGGGGGGACCAUCCUCCAAGGCUAAAUACUCCUGACUGACCGAUAGUGAACCAGUACCGUGAGGGAAAGGCGAAAAGAACCCCGGCGAGGGGAGUGAAAAAGAGCCUGAAACCGUGUACGUACAAGCAGUGGGAGCACCCUUCGGGGUGUGACUGCGUACCUUUUGUAUAAUGGGUCAGCGACUUAUAUUCUGUAGCAAGGUUAACCGUAUAGGGGAGCCGGAGGGAAACCGAGUCUUAACCGGGCGUUAAGUUGCAGGGUAUAGACCCGAAACCCGGUGAUCUAGCCAUGGGCAGGUUGAAGGUUGGGUAACACUAACUGGAGGACCGAACCGACUAAUGUUGAAAAAUUAGCGGAUGACCUGUGGCUGGGGGUGAAAGGCCAAUCAAACCGGGAGAUAGCUGGUUCUCCCCGAAAGCUAUUUAGGUAGCGCCUCGUGAAUUCAUCUCCGGGGGUAGAGCACUGUUUCGGCUAGGGGGCCAUCCCGGCUUACCAACCCGAUGCAAACUGCGAAUACCGGAGAAUGUUAUCACGGGAGACACACGGCGGGUGCUAACGUCCGUCGUGAAGAGGGAAACAACCCAGACCGCCAGCUAAGGUCCCAAAGUCAUGGUUAAGUGGGAAACGAUGUGGGAAGGCCCAGACAGCCGGGAUGUUGGCUUAGAAGCAGCCAUCAUUUAAAGAAAGCGUAAUAGCUCACUGGUCGAGUCGGCCUGCGCGGAAGAUGUAACGGGGCUAAACCAUGCACCGAAGCUGCGGCAGCGAACGUAUCACCCAAGACAACUUUACGGAGUUGACGAUUGACGGAGCGAAGCGACGUCAAAGCGUUCAUUAAAGUCGAGUUGGCUUAGGGAUACGUUCGUUGGGUAGGGGAGCGUUCUGUAAGCCUGUGAAGGUGUGUCGUGAGGCAUGCUGGAGGUAUCAGAAGUGCGAAUGCUGACAUAAGUAACGAUAAAGCGGGUGAAAAGCCCGCUCGCCGGAAGACCAAGGGUUCCUGUCCAACGUUAAUCGGGGCAGGGUGAGUCGACCCCUAAGGCGAGGCCGAAAGGCGUAGUCGAUGGGAAACGGGUUAAUAUUCCCGUACUUGGUGUUACUGCGAAGGGGGGACGGAGAAGGCUAUGUUGGCCGGGCGACGGUUGUCCCGGUUUAAGCGUGUAGGUGUGUGUUCCGUGUAAAUCCGGUUCACUUUAACACUGAGGCGUGACGACGAGGCACUACGGUGCUGAAGCAACAAAUGCCCUGCUUCCGGGAAAAGCCUCUAAGCAUCAGGUAACAUCAAAUCGUACCCCAAACCGACACAGGUGGUCAGGUAGAGAAUACCAAGGCGCUUGAGAGAACUCGGGUGAAGGAACUAGGCAAAAUGGUGCCGUAACUUCGGGAGAAGGCACGCUGACACGUAGGUGAAGUGAUUUACUCAUGGAGCUGAAGUCAGUCGAAGAUACCAGCUGGCUGCAACUGUUUAUUAAAAACACAGCACUGUGCAAACACGAAAGUGGACGUAUACGGUGUGACGCCUGCCCGGUGCCGGAAGGUUAAUUGAUGGGGUCAGCGCAAGCGAAGCUCCUGAUCGAAGCCCCGGUAAACGGCGGCCGUAACUAUAACGGUCCUAAGGUAGCGAAAUUCCUUGUCGGGUAAGUUCCGACCUGCACGAAUGGCGUAAUGAUGGCCAGGCUGUCUCCACCCGAGACUCAGUGAAAUUGAACUCGCUGUGAAGAUGCAGUGUACCCGCGGCAAGACGGAAAGACCCCGUGAACCUUUACUAUAGCUUGACACUGAACAUUGAGCCUUGAUGUGUAGGAUAGGUGGGAGGCUUUGAAGUGUGGACGCCAGUCUGCAUGGAGCCGACCUUGAAAUACCACCCUUUAAUGUUUGAUGUUCUAACGUGGACCCGUAAUCCGGGUUGCGGACAGUGUCUGGUGGGUAGUUUGACUGGGGCGGUCUCCUCCUAAAGAGUAACGGAGGAGCACGAAGGUUGGCUAAUCCUGGUCGGACAUCAGGAGGUUAGUGCAAUGGCAUAAGCCAGCUUGACUGCGAGCGUGACGGCGCGAGCAGGUGCGAAAGCAGGUCAUAGUGAUCCGGUGGUUCUGAAUGGAAGGGCCAUCGCUCAACGGAUAAAAGGUACUCCGGGGAUAACAGGCUGAUACCGCCCAAGAGUUCAUAUCGACGGCGGUGUUUGGCACCUCGAUGUCGGCUCAUCACAUCCUGGGGCUGAAGUAGGUCCCAAGGGUAUGGCUGUUCGCCAUUUAAAGUGGUACGCGAGCUGGGUUUAGAACGUCGUGAGACAGUUCGGUCCCUAUCUGCCGUGGGCGCUGGAGAACUGAGGGGGGCUGCUCCUAGUACGAGAGGACCGGAGUGGACGCAUCACUGGUGUUCGGGUUGUCAUGCCAAUGGCACUGCCCGGUAGCUAAAUGCGGAAGAGAUAAGUGCUGAAAGCAUCUAAGCACGAAACUUGCCCCGAGAUGAGUUCUCCCUGAGACUUAGAGUCUCCUGAAGGAACGUUGAAGACGACGACGUUGAUAGGCCGGGUGUGUAAGCGCAGCGAUGCGUUGAGCUAACCGGUACUAAUGAACCGUGAGGCUUAACCUUACAACGCCGAAG